GAUGAACGCUGGCGGCGUGCCUAAUACAUGCAAGUCGAGCGAACAGAUGAGGAGCUUGCUCCUCUGACGUUAGCGGCGGACGGGUGAGUAACACGUGGAUAACCUACCUAUAAGACUGGGAUAACUUCGGGAAACCGGAGCUAAUACCGGAUAAUAUAUUUAACCGCAUGGUUCAAUAGUGAAAGACGGUUUUGCUGUCACUUAUAGAUGGAUCCGCGCCGCAUUAGCUAGUUGGUAAGGUAACGGCUUACCAAGGCAACGAUGCGUAGCCGACCUGAGAGGGUGAUCGGCCACACUGGAACUGAGACACGGUCCAGACUCCCACGGGGGGGAGAGAGAGGGAAUCUUCCCCAAUGGGCGAAAACCUGACGGAGCAACGCCGGGUGGGUGAGGAAGGGUUUCGGGUCGUAAAACUCUGUUAUUAGGGAAGAAGAAAUGGGUAAGUAAAUAUGCACGUCUUGACGGUACCUAAACAGAAAGGCACGGCUAACUACGUG
rnacentral:rRNA from 1 species